UAGAAUCGGAGCUACGGAUCAGCCUCUACCACAGCUCACAGCAACGCCAGAUCGCCAACCCACUGAUUGAGGCUGGGGAUCGAACCCGUGUCCUCAUGGAUGCUAGUCGGAUUUGUUUCUCCUGUGCCCCAACUGGAACUCCUGUGCCCCCGAUUUGAACGAGUGAACAAGACAAUACAAAGAGCAUAGAAAUGGCUGCACUCUGGGCCUGGCUCCAUGUCCCAUCUGGGAAAAAGGUGUAACAUCCCCUUCCUGGUGGACGUCGGAGUUCAGACGUGGUACCUGGUGAUUUCACCCGCUCAGUCUCUCGGCUGCGUGCAGACACUGCGGAGGUCCUCAGAGCCAGGAACGACUCACGUGCCCAGAAGCCACACUGCCCACCAAACUGCCGACACCUGCCCACAGGUGCCUGGACAUUCUUUGAGCUAAGAUUCAGAGAUGUGGGCUCCUCUCCUCUCCAGGGAAAGUUGGGGGGAAGCGAACUCAAACUCUGUUGUUGGUCUACACUGCCUUUCGCCAGAGGAGCAGAAGAACAAACAGAAGCCACAUGUCCUGUGCCAAAUGCCUGGCCUGUUGACAGAUCUGCUGUCUUGGUGCCACUUCAUAGGCACAGCCCGCCUUCCUCCUUAUGUAGCCACUUCUUAAAAUGUAUGCUUAAUUUCACAAAUCCUCUUCCAGGCCUGUUCCGAGCACUUUAAAUCCAUUGAUUCGGUUAAGCCUCCCACUGUCAUUCUGCCCAUCUUACAAGGGAGGAAACCAGGACUUGGAGGGGGUUAGGAAACUUGCCCACAGUCGUACCAUUUGUCAGUUCUAUGGUGGUUCCGUGGUGAUUGUACUUCAACUUUGAGGAAAUUUCAUAGAGAUGGGACCUAGCACCUGCAGGGCCUUAAAUCAUCGGCCUCAGGGAAUUCCCAUUAUGAUUCAGUGUUAACAAACCCGACGAGUAUCCAUGAGGAUGCAGGUUCAACCCCUGGCCUCGCUUGGUGGGUUACGGAUCCGGCGUUGCUGUGAGCUGUGGCAUAGGUCACAGAUGUGGCUUGGAUCCUGCAUUGCUGUGGUUGUGGUGUAGGCCAGCAGCUAUAGCUCCAAUUAGACCCCCCUAGCCUGGGAACUUCCAUAUGCCGUGGGUGUGGCCCUAAAAAAAAAGACAAAAAAAAACAAACAAAAAAAAAAGUUGGCCGUAGGCCUUGGCCAGCUCCGAAAUGACCUCCUCUUUUUCUGCGUCAUCUCCCUGUAUUGGACACUAUGGAGAGGUCAGCCUAACUCUUCUUUCUCACUCUUCACCUCCAGCUGUCCUCUGCUGGCCACUCACAGCUGUCCCUUUCAGAUGGCUGCUCUCAGAGUUUCCUGCCUCCAAAAGGGGGGAUCGUCUCUUUUCAAAGACCCCUAGGAACACGUCAGACAGAGUCAGGAUUGAUUUCCUGGCUCGCCACACCCGAGGGGGAAGACAAUGGAAGAACAGUGGACCAGGGGGCUCACAGUCAGAGGAAGUCGGGAGGGGCCCAGUGUAAGAUUUGGGCUAAUUCUAAGAAGGAAGUGCUGCAGAUUUGGCCAGUAAAAAUACAGGAUACCAGGAGUUCCCCAGUGGCUCAGUGGGUUAAGGAUCAGGCAUUGUCACUGCUGUGGCACAGGUUCAGUCCCUGGCCUGGGAACUUCCACAUGCCACAGUCACAGCCAAAAAGAAAAAAGAAAAAGAAAAAGAAAAAAAAAAAAGCAGCUGAAUUUGAAUUUCACAUAUAGCAUAAGUACAUCCUAUGCAAUAUUUGGGACAUCCUUAUACUACAAAAUUAUUAUUUAUCCAGAAUUCAGAUUUAACCAGGCAUCCUGUCUCUUAUCUGGCAACGCUGCAGGGGGAUUCAGGUGUCAUCAGGAAGCAAGGCAAUCUGGCGGUUGGGUAGCUUAAUAAUUUUUAUCCAGGAGACAGGAGGGAACUCCUGUCCACGUGGGAAUUUCCAUUUGCUGAGCCCCAAAACAGUAAAUAAAUAAAUAAAUAAAG